ACCCACUCAGUAUUCUUGCCUGGGAAAUACCAUGAACAGAGGAGCCUGGUGGGCUACAGUCCAUGGGUCUCAAAGAGAAAAUCGGUAAAUUAACCACACACACAAAAAACUAUUCCAAAUGUCUUUACAACAUAGAAGUUCAUCUACAUAUCCCUACUGCGAAGUAUCCUAGGGACAAAAAUAACUACAAAGAAAUCUUAAUCUGUUUUAUAUGAUCAAAUCUUUAGUAAUAAUAUCCAUAUUGAAUAUAUGUGUGUAUAUAUAUAUAUUAUUGGGCCACAUCAAAUUUAAUAGCAUGUAUAUUUUGUUGGAACACAUCAAAUGUGUAAAAAUCCAAUGUUCAUAAUAUUUACAGCAAUAGAAUAAAAAGCCUCGUUGUUCCCUUUGGAGAAUGCUAGGAAACAAACACAUUAUUCUGAGAACAGAAACUAAAGAGAAUGAAUAAAGUAUUAUCUUGCCUUUCCUAGAAGAAUUUCACCUCAGGAUAACCUAAGGGAAUAAUUUUAAGGGAAAGUUUUUCUUUAUAGAUAUAUUCCAGUUCAUAAAUAAAGGAAUAGUAAAAUUAAAAUAUUACCAGUCUAGGGUGUAUAGCACAGGGAACUAUAUUCAAUACCUUAAAAUAAACUUUGCUGCUUUCUAGCCAUGUCAUAUUGACAAAUUAUGCAACAAAAAGAAAAAAAUAAACUCUAAAGGAAAAUAUAUGUAUCUAGCUGGAUCAGUUCAGAGAUGACUUCUCUAUCUGAAAGACUUGUGUGUGGCAAGCCAAACUCUCCUCAUCUUCUGGGGACUUGUCUUCCUCCUUUUGAAGUCCCAGGCCUCUACCUGUGUCUCCUUAGCUGAAGAGGACACAGCCUUAUAUUAGCCUCAAUUUCCUGACAGAUUUUGACCAUCAUUGUCUCUGAGAGGCUCUUGUACAUAUAUAUUUAAGUGUGUUUUUCUCCUGUUAUUCUGUCUUAUUUAAUUAUUAGACCAACCCAAGAACCUAGAAAUUUUUUCACCCCUACAAGAAAUAUAUAGAAUUAAUAAAUGUUUUCUUUUAAAAUUAAGUCCACCAUGAAUUAUUUUACUCAUCCUGUGUCUAGGGUGCUCAAGACAUUUAAGUUGAAAGAUGAGUGGGAAUUAAUUUCAACACAAUUGGCAUUUUCUCAAAGAAACCUUCCCUGCAUUCCCAGAUUAGGUCAGCAUUGUGUAGUACUUUAAGUUAUCCCUUUUAAUGUUAAAAUAAUUGUAACUAAAUAAUUAAUUAGGUGAGUAGUUGUUUAAAGCCCUCUGCCCUGGUAAUGAGCCCUGUGAAAUCAAGCACUGUCCAUUUCUGUCUCAUCAUUGCAUUGCUGGCAGAUUACACACAGUAGGCAAUACAGUAUAUUUUUAUUAAAUGAAUAAAAUGUCAUGUUCCUGUGUAAGAAGAACAGAUUCUCAAGUUUGAUGAAAUGCUAAGGACUUGCAAGGAGACAAGAGCCCUGGAUUUAAAUCUUUAACUCCUCAUUUACUGUUUAAGACUGAGUAAAUUACUUACACUGUAAAAACUAAGGAUUUCUAUAAAAUUAAGAAGUGGUGGGAGCAUUUCAAUAAUGCAUUUAAACUUUCUGGAGGGACUUCCCUAGUGGCUCAGUGGUAAAGAAUCUGCCUGUUAAUACAGGAGACAUGGAUUUGAUCCCUGGUCCAGGAAGAUCCCACAUGCCGUGGAGCAACUAAGCAUAUGGGCCACAACUAUUAAGCCUGUGCUCUGGAGCCCGGGAGCCGCAAAUGCUGCAGCCCCCUUGCCCUAGAGCCGUACUUUGCAACAGGAGAAGCCACUGCAACGAGACGCUCCUGCACCACAAGAGAGUAGCCCCCUCUGCAACUAGAGAAGAGCAGGAGCAGCCACUAAGACCCAGCACCGCCGUGUAAGGUAUGGAUCUUGAUCUCCAGAAGUUUGUAGUUCAGUCUUCUGUGAGUUAUAUUAUUACUCCAGUUACAAGAGCACAAGAAGGGGAGAAGAGGAAACUUCCCCCUCCCCAACACACGCAUUCAACACACGUGAACUUCCAGAUGUUCAAGCUCGUUUUAGAAAAGGCAGAGGAACCAGAGAUCAAAUUGCCAACAUCUGCUGGAUCAUUGAAAAAGCAAGAGAGUUCCAGAAAAACAUCUAUUUCUGCUUU